rnacentral:rRNA from 1 species
CCUACGGGUGGCAGCAGUGAGGAAUAUUGGUCAAUGGGCGCGAGCCUGAACCAGCCAAGUCGCGUGCAGGAAGACGGUCCUAUGGGUUGUAAACCUCUUUUAUCCGGGAACAACGGACGCCACGCGUGGCGUUCCGAGAGUACCCGAAGAAAAAGCAUCGGCUAACUCCGUGCCAGCAGCCGCGGUAAUACGGAGGGUGCGAGCGUUAUCCGGAUUUAUUGGGUUUAAAGGGUGCGGAGGCCGCAAGUCAAGUCAGCGGUAAAAUUUCGGGGGUCAACCCCUUCCAAGCGGUGGAAACUGGUGUUCUUGAGUGAGCGGGAAGCAGGCGGAAUGCGUGGUGUAGCGGUGAAAUGCAUAGAUAUCACGCAGAACUCCGAUUGCGAAGGCAGCAUACUGGCGCUCAACUGACGCUGAUGCACGAAAGUGUGGGUAUCGAACAGGAUUAGAUACCCGAGUAGUC